rnacentral:rRNA from 1 species
AUUGAACGCUGGCGGCAGGCUUAACACAUGCAAGUCGCGCGAGCGGCGGACGGGUGAGUAAUGUCUGAGAAACUGCCUGAUGGAGGGGGAUAACUACUGUAAACGGUAGCUACUACCGCAUACCAUCAACUGUGCCCAGAUGGGAUUAGCUAGUAGGUGGGGUAAUGGCUCACCUAGGCGACGAGCCCUAGCUGGUCUGAGAGGAUGACAAGCCACACUGGAACUGAGACACGGUCCAGACUCCUACGUGAGGCAGCAGUGGGGAAUAUUGCACAAUGGGCGCAAGCCGGAUGCAGCCAUGCCGCGUGUGUGAAGAAGGCCUUCGGGUUGUAAAGCACUUUCAGCGAGGAGGCGUUACUCGCAGAAGAAGCACCGGCUAACUCCGUGCCAGCAGCCGCGGUAAUAC